GCCUACGGGGGGCUGCAGUGGGGAAUAUUGGACAAUGGGCGCAAGCCUGAUCCAGCCAUGCCGCGUGAGUGAUGAAGGCCCUAGGGUUGUAAAGCUCUUUUGUGCGGGAAGAUAAUGACGGUACCGCAAGAAUAAGCCCCGGCUAACUUCGUGCCAGCAGCCGCGGUAAUACGAAGGGGGCUAGCGUUGCUCGGAAUCACUGGGCGUAAAGGGUGCGUAGGCGGGAUUUUAAGUCAGAGGUGAAAGCCUGGAGCUCAACUCCAGAACUGCCUUUGAUACUGGAAUUCUUGAGUUCGGGAGAGGUGAGCGGAACUGCGAGUGUAGAGGUGAAAUUCGUAGAUAUUCGCAAGAACACCAGUGGCGAAGGCGGCUCACUGGCCCGAUACUGACGCUGAGGCACGAAAGCGUGGGUAGCAAACAGGAUUAGAUACCCCGGUAGUCGG
rnacentral:rRNA from 1 species